rnacentral:lncRNA from 1 species
CUACAGGCAGUGCCAUGUCAGGGAUGUGGUUGGGGACACGGCAGGGCCACGGUUGGGGACACGGCAGGGCCACGGUUGGGAACAGGGCAGGGCCACGUCGGUGCUGUGUCAGUGCCAUGUCAGGGACAUGGUUGGGGACACGGCAGGGCCACGUCAGUGCUGUGUCAGUGCCACAGGCAGUGCCGUGUUGGGGACACGGUUGGGGACACGGCAGUGCCAUGGUUGGGGACACGGCAGGGCCACGUCGGUGCUGUGUCAGUGCCAUGUCAGGGACAUGGUUGGGGACACGGCAGUGCCACGGUUGGGGACACGGCAGGGCCACAUCAGUGCUGUGUCAGUGCCAUGGGCAGUGCCAUGGUUGGGGACAUGGUUGGGGACACGGUCAGGGACAUGGCAGUGCCAUGUCGGUGCCACAGUCAGGGAUGUGACAGUGUCAUAUCAGUGCCAUGGUCAGUGCCAUGUCGGUGCCACGGUUGGGGACACAGCAGUGCCAUGUCGGUGCCAUGGUUGGGGACAUGGCAGAGCCCUGUCGGUGCCACAGCUGGUGCCACGUGGGUGCCACCGCAGGCUAUGCGGGUGCCACCACAGCCCCCCGCGGGUGCCGUGCCAGCGCCACGGCAGUGCCACCCAGCCCAGCCGUGGGGACCGCGGGGGCCCGUGGUGCGCGGGGACACCCACCGCCACGGCCCUGGUGGCUUCUCUGACGGCUGCUACGUGGCUGCGCUCGCCGGCGGCGAGGAAGCGCGACCGCUCGCCGUCUCGCCGGCACCGCGGGGCCUUCGGCCUCGGCCCGGCACCGCCACGACGCCCGGAGCCGGCAGGGUGGGCAGGAGCGGGCAGGAGCAGGCGCUGCUGCCGCCGUGGCCCCG